UUCUAUAUAUACUGAUAUAUAUUACUAUAUAGACACUUGUUAUCAGUUUAUACAGUUAUUAGCGAAUAUUAUCAGUUUAUACAGUUUAUGCCUUUAUUGGCGUAUACGUACACUGAUUUUUAUACUACACACACGCACUCACACUCAUGCUCACGCUCACGCUCACGCUCACGCUCACGUUCACACACACACAUUCGCACUCACACAUACACUCACACACACUCACACUCACUCACAAUCACACUGACACUCACAAAUAUAUAUACUAUCACCUUUAAUCUGAUAUGCCUCGUGAAAUUCCAUAUUACUUUGUAUAGAAUUAGGCACAAGAAUACGUUUCUUCUCUUGAUGAAUUGGGUACGCUAAAUACCCAAUUGUGAUAAUCCAUGUUAAUUUUUUAUCUUAUUUGUGCUAUUUAUUAUUAUUAUUGUUGAGAUUCAUCUUCAUCAAGUUUUCUUGUUAAUCAACAACCCUGAAAGCAACUUAUCAUCUAGGCGGAUCUCCUUACGUCAAUCGAUAUUUGAGAUCUUGAUCUUGCUAGCUUGAUUUGCUUAAUGGUUCUUUUUUCUCUAAUAUAGUACUGCUCUUGCUUCUUUCAUGCAAAUAAAGAGUGUAUUUUUUAGAGCUUUACUUGUGGUUUGCAAUUUUAUUAUAUAAUCUUUUCUUAACACACACACUCUUGCUUCUUUCAUGCAAAUUUGGAUUGAAUUUUCUGAAGCUUUACUUAUGGUUUACAAUUUUAUUAUGUAUAAAAAUGGCCAUAUAUACACUUAUUUUCAAUUUAUACAUGUACUAACGUAUAUGUACACUGAUUUAUAUACAUUGAUGUAAAUGGCCAUAUAUACACUUAUUUUCAAUUUAUACAUGUAUUAACGUAUAUGUACAUUGAUUUAUAUACAUUGAUGUAAAUGACUAUAUAAACACUUAUUUUCGAUUUAUACAUGUAUUAACGUAUAUGUACACUAAUUUAUAUACUACACACACACUUAUACUCACACUCACACUCACAAACAUGAACACAAACACAGUCACAAACAUAUACACUUAUAUGCUCUUGUAUAUGCACCCUUACGCAUUGAUAGCGCAUAUAGACACUUUUUCUCAGUUUUUACAGUUAUUAGCGUAUAUGUACAUCGAUAUGUAUAUGAAUGCACAUGUGGCUGUUGCAGCCAGAAAGGUGAAUUAACCUAGCCCCCUGCUAAUUGUUUAUUAUUUUUCUCUCAAUUCUUUCUAUUCGAAUCAUUAUCUUUCCUUUGAAUGACUUUUCCUUGCAUAUACAAUUUUUCAAAUUGUGAUAAAAUUAAGCAUUAAAGCUGGAGAUUAUUUCAUCUGGCCAGUGUUUCAAAAAGCGCUAGGUGGGUCCUAGGCGGCCUGGGGGGUCCAGGACGCUCAGUGCCUAGGAGGGGGCGCCCAGAACCUAGGUGGCCCAGUCAAAUCCAACAAGGAUGCCCAGUCAAAGAUGCUUUUAAAGACUCAAAAUUUUCUAAAAAACCUCCCAAUAGAUUUAUAAAACAUCAAAACUUAAAUCUAAUAUCAAUGGGUGAUGUUUUGAUCAAUUUUUGCCAACUUAAAAAAAUAAGAAAUUUCCACCUCUGGGCGGGCACCCGGCUAGGUGGGUUCCAUAUCGCCUAAGUUGGGAGCAGCCCUUGGGCUGGGCGUUGGGUGCCUGGCUACGCUAAGCGGUCCGCUUUUUGAAUCACUGCUUCUGGCUAUCACCUAUAAUCAGGUAUGCUGAGGCGAAAUUCCAUAUUACUAUAUAUAGAAUUAGGUAUAAGAAUAGUUUCUUCUCUUGAUGAGUUGGGUAUGCUAAAUACCCAAUUGUGAUAAUCCAUCUAAAUUUUUUUAUCUUAUUUGUACUUGUUCUUAUUAUUAUUGAUGAGCUUAAUCUUCAUCGAGUUUGCUUGUAAUCAACAAGCAUGAAAGAAACUUAUCAUCGACGCGGAUCUCUUUACCUUGUAGAUACUUAUUAGCAGUUUUUAUAUAAUAUAUACAGUGUGUAUAUAUAUGAUAUGUAUAUACUGAUAUGUUUAUGCGUGUAUAUAUAAACUUUCUAGCAGUUAUAUGUACACUGAUAUACACACGCAGAUACACCCUUUCGCGUUGAUAGUUCACAGAUACAUUUCUAUAUACACUGAUAUAUAUGACUAUAUAGACACGUAUUAUCACUUUAUGCAGUUAUUAGCGUAUAUGUACACUGAUAUGUAUAUGCAAUUUUUGUAUACGUAUUGAUGCAUAACAAUA
rnacentral:lncRNA from 1 species